rnacentral:rRNA from 1 species
GAGUUUGAUCAUGGCUCAGAUUGAACGCUGGCGGCAUGCUUUACACAUGCAAGUCGAACGGCAGCACAGGGAGCUUGCUCCUGGGUGGCGAGUGGCGAACGGGUGAGUAAUGUAUCGGAACGUGCCUGGUAGUGGGGGAUAACUACUCGAAAGAGUGGCUAAUACCGCAUGAGAUCUUUGGAUGAAAGCGGGGGACCUUCGGGCCUCGCGCUACUGGAGCGGCCGAUAUCAGAUUAGGUUGUUGGUGGGGUAAAGGCCUACCAAGCCUGCGAUCUGUAGCUGGUCUGAGAGGACGACCAGCCACACUGGGACUGAGACACGGCCCAGACUCCUACGGGAGGCAGCAGUGGGGAAUUUUGGACAAUGGGCGCAAGCCUGAUCCAGCAAUGCCGCGUGCAGGAUGAAGGCCUUCGGGUUGUAAACUGCUUUUGUACAGAACGAAAAGUCUCUGGCUAAUAUCUAG